AGCUUCAACAUCCCCGUAGGUCGGGCGCAGUACGCGCAGUGGAUCUACUGAAGCC
rnacentral:sRNA from 1 species